rnacentral:rRNA from 1 species
GACGAACGCUGGCGGCGUGCUUAACACAUGCAAGUCGAACGGAAAGGCCCUGCUUUUGUGGGGUGCUCGAGUGGCGAACGGGUGAGUAACACGUGAGUAACCUGCCCUUGACUUUGGGAUAACUUCAGGAAACUGGGGCUAAUACCGGAUAGGAGCUCCUGCUGCAUGGUGGGGGUUGGAAAGUUUCGGCGGUUGGGGAUGGACUCGCGGCUUAUCAGCUUGUUGGUGGGGUAGUGGCUUACCAAGGCUUUGACGGGUAGCCGGCCUGAGAGGGUGACCGGCCACAUUGGGACUGAGAUACGGCCCAGACUCCUACGGGAGGCAGCAGUGGGGAAUAUGGCACAAUGGGCGGAAGCCUGAUGCAGCAACGCCGCGUGCGGGAUGACGGCCUUCGGGUGUAAACCGCUUUCGCCUGUGACGAAGCGUGAGUGACGGUAAUGGGUAAAGAAGCACCGGCUAACUACGUG